GAUGAAUGCUAGCGAUAGGCUUAACACAUGCAAGUCGAGGGGCAGCAUGGUCUUAGCUUGCUAAGGCUGAUGGCGACCGGCGCACGGGUGCGUAACGCGUAUGCAACUUGCCUCACAGAGGGGGAUAACCCGUCGAAAGACGGACUAAUACCGCGUACACUCUAUGUUGGGCAUCCAAUGUAGAGGAAAUGAAAUUCGCUGUGAGAUAGGCAUGCGUCCCAUUAGCUAGUUGGUGAGGUAACGGCUCACCAAGGCGACGAUGGGUAGGGGAACUGAGAGGUUGAACCCCCACACUGGUACUGAGACACGGACCAGACUCCUACGGGAGGCAGCAGUGAGGAAUAUUGGUCAAUGGGCGAGAGCCUGAACCAGCCAAGUCGCGUGAAGGAUGACUGUCUUAUGGAUUGUAAACUUCUUUUAUACGGGAAUAACAAGAGUCACGUGUGGCUCCCUGCAUGUACCGUAUGAAUAAGCAUCGGCUAACUCCGUG
rnacentral:rRNA from 1 species